rnacentral:rRNA from 1 species
UGCCAGCAGCCGCGGUAACACGAACCGUCCAAACGUUAUUCGGUAUCACUGAACUUAAAGCGUGCGUAGGCGGCUUGGUAGGUGAGAUGUGAAAUCCCACGGCUCAACCGUGGAAUUGCGUUUCAAACCCCCAAGCUCGAAAAAAAUAGAAGUGAUGGGAACUUAUGGUGGAGCGGUGAAAUACAUUGAUAUCAUAGGGAACACCGGUGGCGAAAGCGCAUCACUGGAUCUUUUCUGACGCUGAGGCACGAAAGCUAGGGUAGCGAACGAAAUUAGAUA